AUAACGGUCCUAAGGUAGCGAAAUUCCUUGUCGGGUAAGUUCCGACCCGCACGAAUGGUGUAACGAUCUGGGCACUGUCUCAACUACCCACCCGGCGAAAUUGUAGUACCGGUGAAGAUGCCGGUUACCUGCGGCAAGACGGAAAGACCCCAUGGAGCUUUACUGUAGCCUGAUAUUGGGUUUCGGAAAUCUAUGUACAGGAUAGGCGGGAGACUGGGAAGUAUGAGCGUCAGCUUAUACGGAGUCGUUGUUGGGAUACCGCCCUUAGGUUUCUGGAAUUCUAACCUGCGACCGUGAAUCCGGUCGGGGGACAUUGUCAGGUGGGCAGUUUGACUGGGGCGGUCGCCUCCGAAAAGGUAACGGAGGCGCUCAAAGGUUGGCUCAGCACGGACGGAAACCGUGCCUCAGAGUGUAAACGCAAAAGCCAGCCUAACUGCGAGGAUGACGGUCCGAGCAGUAACGAAAGUUGGAGUUAGUGAUCCGGCGGUAUGUGAAUGGAAAUGCCGUCGCUCAACGGAUAAAAGCUACCCUGGGGAUAACAGGCUGAUCUCCCCCAAGAGUCCACAUCGACGGGGAGGUUUGGCACCUCGAUGUCGGCUCAUCGCAUCCUGGGGCUGAAGUAGGUCCCAAGGGUUGGGCUGUUCGCCCAUUAAAGCGGUACGCGAGCUGGGUUCAGAACGUCGUGAGACAGUUCGGUCCCUAUCUGUCGUGGGCGUAGGAUAUUUGAAAGGAGCUGUCCCUAGUACGAGAGGACCGGGAUGGACGCACCUCUGGUGCACCAGUUGUCACGCCAGUGGCACAGCUGGGCAGCUAUGUGCGGAACGGAUAAACGCUGAAGGCAUCUAAGCGUGAAGCCGCCCUUAAGAUAAGAUAUCCCUUCUGUUUACAGAGUAAGACCCCUUGAAGACUACAAGGUUGAUAGGCUCAAAGUGUAAGCACGGUGACGUGUUUAGCUAGCGAGUACUAAUCGGUCGAGGGCUUAACCUU
rnacentral:rRNA from 1 species